AAGCCUGCAGUGUUCCCACGCCUCAGCCAUGCUCCUGGUGCUCAUCCCGGUGCUGGGGCUCCAAUGGGCCCUGAGAGACGCCAGAGCUCAGACCGUGACCCAGCCCGACGCCCAGGUCGCUGUGUCUGAAGGAGCCGCCCUGGAGCUGAGGUGCAGCUACUCCUAUGGGGCAUCUAUUUCUCUCUUCUGGUACGUCCAGUACCCGGGCCAAGGCCCUCAGCUCCUCCUGAAGUACCUGUCAGGGGACGCCCGGGUUCCCGGCAUCAGAGGCUUUGAGGCUGAGUUUAAGAAGAGCGAUUCUUCCUUCCACCUGAGGAAAGCCUCAGUGCAGGGGAGCGACGCGGCCCGGUACUUCUGCGUUGCCACAGUGCCUGGGCCUGCAGGGGGAGCCGGACACAAACCGCCCAGGAGUGCAGAUCUGAGAGCUCUUCCUGUGGUUUUCACAUUAAAAGUUGGCAAAACAGAUAAAGAGGGCUGGGCUGGUACUUCUUUGUUAUUCUUCAAUUCCUGCUGUGCUUUAGCUCCAUAA